rnacentral:rRNA from 1 species
UCGCAGAUACCAGGUGGCUGCAACUGUUUAUUAAAAACACAGCACUGUGCAAAAUCGUAAGAUGACGUAUACGGUGUGACGCCUGCCCGGUGCCGGAAGGUUAAUUGAUGGGGUUAGACUUCGGUCGAAGCUCUUGAUCGAAGCCCCGGUAAACGGCGGCCGUAACUAUAACGGUCCUAAGGUAGCGAAAUUCCUUGUCGGGUAAGUUCCGACCUGCACGAAUGGCGUAAUGAUGGCCACGCUGUCUCCACCCGAGACUCAGUGAAAUUGAAAUCGCUGUGAAGAUGCAGUGUACCCGCGGCUAGACGGAAAGACCCCGUGAACCUUUACUACAGCUUGGCACUGAACAUUGACCCUACAUGUGUAGGAUAGGUGGGAGGCUUUGAAGCACGUACGCCAGUAUGUGUGGAGCCGUCCUUGAAAUACCACCCUUGUAGUGUUGAUGUUCUAACGUCGACCCCUUAUCGGGGUUGCGGACAGUGCCUGGUGGGUAGUUUGACUGGGGCGGUCUCCUCCCAAAGAGUAACGGAGGAGCACGAAGGUGGGCUAAUCACGGUUGGACAUCGUGAGGUUAGUGCAAUGGCAUAAGCCCGCUUGACUGCGAGAAUGACAAUUCGAGCAGGUGCGAAAGCAGGUCAUAGUGAUCCGGUGGUUCUGAAUGGAAGGGCCAUCGCUCAACGGAUAAAAGGUACUCCGGGGAUAACAGGCUGAUACCGCCCAAGAGUUCAUAUCGACGGCGGUGUUUGGCACCUCGAUGUCGGCUCAUCACAUCCUGGGGCUGAAGUCGGUCCCAAGGGUAUGGCUGUUCGCCAUUUAAAGUGGUACGCGAGCUGGGUUUAGAACGUCGUGAGACAGUUCGGUCCCUAUCUGCCGUGGGCGUUGGAAGAUUGAAGGGGGCUGCUCCUAGUACGAGAGGACCGGAGUGGACGAACCUCUGGUGUUCGGGUUGUGUCGCCAGACGCAUUGCCCGGUAGCUAAGUUCGGAAUCGAUAACCGCUGAAAGCAUCUAAGCGGGAAGCGAGCCCUGAGAUGAGUCUUCCCUGAUACUUUAAGUAUCCUAAAGGGUUGUCGGAGACUACGACGUUGAUAGGUCAGGUGUGUAAGUGCUGUGAGGCAUUGAGCUAACUGAUACUAAUUGCCCGUGAGGCUUAACCAU